GAUGAAGAACGUAGCGAAAUGCGAUAAGUAAUGUGAAUUGCAGAAUUCAGUGAAUCAUCGAAUCUUUGAACGCACAUUGCGCCCGCCAGUAUUCUGGCGGGCAUGCCUGUUCGAGCGUCAUUUCAACCAUCAAGCCCCCGGCUUGUGUUGGGGACCUGCGGCUGCCGCAGGCCCUGAAAACCAGUGGCGGGCUCGCUAGUCACUCCGAGCGUAGUAAUACAUCUCGCUCAGGGCGUGCUGUGGGUUCCGGCCGUUAAAAAAGCCUUAUUUACCCAAGGUUGACCUCGGAUCAGGUAGGAAGACCCGCUGAACUUAAGCAUAUCAAUAAGCGGAGGA
rnacentral:misc_RNA from 1 species